AGGAUAAACGCUGGCGGCGUGCCUAACACAUGCAAGUCGAACGUCUCUUCUUUCGGGAAGAGGAGUGGCGGACGGGUGAGGAACACGUGGGAACCUGCCCUUUAGUGAGGAAUACCGGCGAGAAAUCGCCGACAAGACCGCAUAGCCCUCUUUGAUGAGAGUCAAAGAAGGAAAGCUUCGCAAGAGGCGCUAGAGGAGGGGCCUGCGUCCGAUUAGCUAGUUGGUGGGGUAAGAGCCUACCAAGGCGUCGAUCGGUAGCUGGUCUGAGAGGACGAUCAGCCACACUGGGAUUGAGAACGGCCCAGACUCCUACGGGGGGCAGCAGUGAGGAAUUUUCGUCAAUGGGGGCAACCCUGAACGAGCAACGCCGCGUGCAGGAAGAAGGUUUUCGGAUCGUAAACUGCUUUUCUCGGGGAAGAGAACGGACGGUACCCGAGGAAUCAGCCCGGCUAACUACGUGCCAGCAGCCGC
rnacentral:rRNA from 1 species